GUUUUACGGGAGAAAUAGUAAAAUCACCUCGCAUCUUUCAGUGCCCAGCAAAUUGUAUAUAAAAGGUCGUUUGUUCUGUGUGUGAAUGAUGAAACGAGUGCACGUGUUCGCCAUUCAUUCCAUGCGUGUUCAGCCAUGUGAAAAAACCACAACAUGGGGAAAUUACUGGCAAGAUUCCAUAAUCACAUUGUCAAAAUAUCAAUAUCGUGACGUCUGUCAAUUCAAAGUAUUUUUCCAUCGUUUUACGUUUAAUUUCUUGCGCAGUUGAGUCAACAUUUGGCUUGCAAACAUUUUGGUUCGAAAGACCCGC
rnacentral:lncRNA from 1 species